GGACUACUGGGGUUUCUAAUCCCUUUUGCUCCCCAUACUUUCGAGCCUGAGUGUCAGGAUUUGUCCAGCGGGCUGCCUUCGCCGUCGGUGUUCCUCCAGAUAUCUACGCAUUUCACCGCUACACCUGGAAUUCCACCCGCCUCUCCAAUCCUCAAGACAAGUAGUUUCGAGCGCCGUUCCGGGGUUAAGCCCCGGGAUUUCACGCCCGACACACCUGUCCACCUGCGCUCCCUUUACGCCCAGUGAAUCCGAGUAACGCUUGCAGUCUCUGUAUUACCGCGGCUGCUGGCAC
rnacentral:rRNA from 1 species